rnacentral:rRNA from 1 species
AAUUUACAAUGGAGAGUUUGAUCCUGGCUCAGGAUGAACGCUAGCGGCAGGCCUAAUACAUGCAAGUCGAGC